rnacentral:rRNA from 1 species
AGAGUUUGAUUCUGGCUCAGGAUGAACGCUGGCGGCAUGCUUGACACAUGCAAGUUGAACGAAGACUUAUUUGUACUUGUACAGAUUUGGACUUAGUAGCGGACGGGUGAGUAACGCGUAAGAAUCUACCUUUAGGAACAGAAUAACAACUGGAAACGGUUGCUAAUACUGUAUAUGCUGAAAAUGCUAAAGGUUUUUCCGCCUAAAGAUGAGCUUGCGUCUGAUUAGCUAGUUGGUAAGGUAAAGGCUUACCAAGGCGACGAUCAGUAACUGGUCUGAGAGGAUGAUCAGUCACACUGGGACUGAGACACGGCCCAGACUCCUACGGGAGGCAGCAGUGAGGAAUUUUCCGCAAUGGGCGCAAGCCUGACGGAGCAAUGCCGCGUGAAGGACGAAGGCCUGCGGGUUGUAAACUUCUUUUCUUACAGAAUAAAUUGACGGUAUGUAAGGAAUAAGCAUCGGCUAACUUUGUGCCAGCAGCCGCGGUAAUACAAGGGAUGCAAGCGUUAUCCGGAAUGAUUGGGCGUAAAGCGUCUGUAGGUGGUUUUGAAAGUCGAUUGUCAAAAACCAAGGCUUAACCUUGGACGGGCAAUGGAAACUUCAAAACUAGAGUAUGGUAGAGGUAGAGGGAAUUAUCGGUGUAACGGUGAAAUGUGCAGAUAUCGGUAAGAACACCAACGGCGAAAGCACUCUACUGGGCCAUAACUGACACUGAGAGACGAAAGCUAGGGGAGCGAAUAGGAUUAGAUACCCUAAGUAGUCCUAGCCGUAAACGAUGGAAACUAAGUAUUGGACUUCUGUUCAGUAUUGUAGCUAACGCGUUAAGUUUCCCGCCUGGGGAGUACGCUCGCAAGAGUGAAACUCAAAGAAAUUGACGGGGGCCCGCACAAGCGGUGGAGCAUGUGGUUUAAUUCGAUGCAACGCGAAGAACCUUACCGGGGAUUGACAUGUUGCGCAUUGAUUGGAAACGAUCAAGUCCAAACGCAAACACAGGUGGUGCAUGGCUGUCGUCAGCUCGUGUCGUGAGACGUAAAGGUUAAGUCCUGUAACGAGCGCAACCCUUAUUACUUGUUGCUUUUUAGGAAACUAGUAAGACUGCCAGUUUUAAGCUGGAGGAAGGUGAGGAUGACGUCAAGUCAGCAUGCCCCUUAAAUCCCGGGCUACACACGUGCUACAAUGGUCAGGACAAAGAGAUGCUAACUUGCGAAAGUACGCCAACCUCAAAAACCUGAUCUCAGUUCGGAUUGCAGGCUGCAACUCGCCUGCAUGAAGCCGGAAUCGCUAGUAAUCGCAGGUCAGCUAUACUGCGGUGAAUACGUUCCCGGGCCUUGUACACACCGCCCGUCACACCAUGGAAGCUGACUAGGCCCGAAAUCGUUGUAAACGCCUAAGGCACAGUUAGUGACUGGGGUGAAGUCGUAACAAGGUAGGGCUACUGGAAGGUGGCCCUGGAUCACCU